AUUGAACGCUGGCGGAAUGCUUUACACAUGCAAGUCGAACGGCAGCACGGGGGCAACCCUGGUGGCGAGUGGCGAACGGGUGAGUAAUACAUCGGAACGUGCCCAGUCGUGGGGGAUAACGUAGCGAAAGUUACGCUAAUACCGCAUACGAUCUACGGAUGAAAGCGGGGGACCGUACGGCCUCGCGCGAUUGGAGCGGCUGAUGUCAGAUUAGGUAGUUGGUGAGGUAAAGGCUCACCAAGCAGACGAUCUGUAGCUGGUCUGAGAGGACGACCAGCCACACUGGGACUGAGACACGGCCCAGACUCCUACGGGAGGCAGCAGUGGGGAAUUUUGGACAAUGGGCGCAAGCCUGAUCCAGCCAUUCCGCGUGCAGGACGAAGGCCUUCGGGUUGUAAACUGCUUUUGUACGGAACGAAAAGGCUCUGGUUAAUACCUGGGGCUCAUGACGGUACCGUAAGAAUAAGCACCGGCUAACUACGUGCCAGCCGCCGCCGUAA
rnacentral:rRNA from 1 species